rnacentral:rRNA from 1 species
UACGUAGGGUGCAAGCGUUAAUCGGAAUUACUGGGCGUAAAGCGUGCGCAGGCGGUUAUGUAAGACAGGUGUGAAAUCCCAGGGCUUAACCUUGGAACUGCAUUUGUGACUGCAUAGCUAGAGUACGGUAGAGGGGGAUGGAAUUCCGCGUGUAGCAGUGAAAUGCGUAGAUAUGCGGAGGAACACCGAUGGCGAAGGCAAUCCCCUGGACCUGUACUGACGCUCAUGCACGAAAGCGUGGGGAGCAACAGG